UACGGGGGGAGCAAGCGUUGUUCGGAUUUACUGGGCGUAAAGCGUGCGCAGGCGGUUUUGUAAGACUGUCGUGAAAUCCCCGGGCUUAACCUGGGAAUUGCGAUGGUGACUGCAAGGCUAGAGUUUGGCAGAGGGGGGGGUAGAAUUCCACGUGUAGCAGUGAAAUGCGUAGAGAUGUGGAGGAACACCGAUGGCGAAGGCAGCCCCCUGGGUCAAAAACUGACGCUCGAUGCACGAAAGCGUGGGGAGCAAACAGG
rnacentral:rRNA from 1 species